UACGGGGGGGGCAAGCGUUGUUCGGAAUUACUGGGCGUAAAGGGCUCGUAGGCGGCCAACUAAGUCGGAUGUGAAAUCCCCAGGCUUAACCUGGGAACUGCAUCCGAUACUGGAUGGCUUGAAUUCGGGAGAGGGAUGCAGAAUUCCAGGUGUAGCGGUGAAAUGCGUAGAUAUCUGGAGGAACACCGGUGGCGAAGGCGGCAUCCUGGACCGACAUUGACGCUGAGGCGCGAAAGCCAGGGGAGCAAACGGG
rnacentral:rRNA from 1 species